CGUUUGAAUUCGCAUCCUGUUUUCCUAUUCAACUGAUAGGAGGUCAACACUAUUAUAAAAGGGCCCUUCCUCGUCAACCCAAGAAUCAUUCCUAGGUAGCACGGCCUUAAACAAAGUAUAGUUCAUUCAGCAUCGCCAUCAAUAUGUAUCUUAUGCUAAUGUUAAUCAGCGCGGUGGCGAUGGUCGCAUCGGCACCGACGGAAACGAAAGACGCAGUUAUCAACGUGGAAGGACCAGAAGGCCGUCACGUGCAGACGGGCGAGCCCGGCAAAGCCGUUGCCGGAUACUUUACUUCACGAGAUGAAAACGGCGUUGAACACAAGACAACGUACGAGGCUGACGAGAAAGGCUUCCGCGCAAAGGGAUCGCAUUUUCCAGUCUCUCCGACCGACUCGUCCGCCCGUCUGCCCACCACUUUUCCCGUUCUCUACCCAACAUCUGCUUUCCCCAUCUACGGUUUCCGCUACGGCCCUCAAAAUUAUUUGCCCUUCGCCUACCCAAUUUACCCGCAAGAAGGCGAAUAUCUAGCGGGCGGAGAUUCUUUGUCGUACGAUAACAUCGCAUUUAAACAAGGAGAAAAUCAACUCCCUCUUUCCGGAGAUGAGAUUUUAGCCCUAGCACAAGACGCUCAAAUUCCGCUCACGAACGAAGAAAUUGCGAUUCUGACAGAACGUGGUUCGCUUAUGUCGAUGUUGAUGCCAUUCAUCUUGCAGAGCAAGAUCAACUUGUUCAUGACGAUGUUUAUCAAUAAGAUGUUCCCGGGUUCUAUCCCGUAGUCGUCUGCUAGAAAUCGAUUGAAAUGUUUAGCUCGUCGUCUGCCACGCUUUUCGACUUGCUGUUGCCUUAGGAAACGUCAAUCUGAAACCUCGCUAACAUUAUUUAUGAUGUCUUCUUCCUUCCAGGAGCUUGAACGAAAAUAAACUCUUUGGUUGAAACUCGUCUCGAAAUUGUGUGCGCCAUUUACACGAUCACCUCUCCAAAACAAAACAAAAACAGAGUCUCGAGUGUUAAACGUAAAAAUUACGCAGGGAAAGACAAGAUCGCUUUAAGGACAUCAAUUAGCCAAUCAGCGCAUGCGACAUUCAACUGUAGCAGAACAAAAACGCUCGUUCAUGUUGGACGCAACAAAACUGUCUUGUAAACAUCAAUGGUUUGCUUUGUCACCAACAACUAGUGUACUUUCAACGUCUUCGACGUCACGUGACGCAAUUAAAAACAGCCCCACCCACAACAUAUCGGAGUCUAACGGGAUAAAAAAAAAAUUAAAGAAGAUGAAAUCUUUUGGCAUCAACGAGGGUGCUGUUGCCAUCUUCAGUGAUGGCCAAAGCAAAUAUGAAUGAAAACCAACGACUCCUUAGAUUUGCAAAUUACCCUUGAAUGGCAUUAGCCACGGGGCAGCAGGCAAACGAACUUGAACUUUAAAUGUACGCAAGUAACCGGGGAGAAAAGAAAAAAAAAAAAAAAACUUGUUCUGGAACGUCAGAAAAUGGUUGGUGUCUGGUUAGGAAACACAAGAGAAUGCAUUCAAAGAUUGUGGAGGGGAAGACCCCCUUCCGGGUGAGAUAACAGCUCGAAUUUUGAUUGUAAAAUCGAUUUUAUCGUUCAGGAGUGCCACCAAAAAUAUUAAUAUUUGUUUAUUUUAUUUUUUUUUUUUUGCACGUGUACGAAAAAACAAAUUCUUUUGUUAAUCCUCUUUUCAAAUUAUUUGCGCCAAUUACAAGAAUGUUCUUAAAAAACAAUAGGCCACGAGUAUUGAAUACAAACUGCAAAAACAAAACAAAAAUGAAGUAGAAAACUACCUAAACGGCGGAAUCCGAAAUUUAUGUAUUCUUCCUUCCGGAUACAAAUAUAAUAUAUAAAAUAUAUUCCCUUCUUCCUGCAUCCGCUUUUUUUGUUUUCUUCAAUUAAAAUGAAGGAUUGAGCUUGAACAAAACAAAAGCCCUUUCUGAAAAUGGGUACUGGUGAACGAAGACAUUAUUGGAUUCUUUUUUUUCUUUCUUCUGAUACUAGUUGACUGUCAAAUGCAGAUGAGGUCUAAACUAAACCUUACGGCCAUCUACUUGGUAGCUGGAAACUAACUUAUACAAAUUAACAAGGCCACCAUCAAGAGCCGUUUUAAUUUGCAUACUUUUUUGUAUUCAACCGUUUCAUUUCGGAGUUGGCGUACGAUUGUUCGAGCCCGCAGGUCAACACGUAUAAAAGGGGCCUUCCUUAUCAACCCAAGAUUCAUUCCCAGGUAGCGUGGCGCUAAACAAAGUAUCCCAGUUUGUUCAGCAUCGGAAUCAAAAUGAAUCUUAUCCUAAUGUUAAUCAGCGUGGUAGCGAUGGUCGCAUCGGCACCAACGGAAACCAAAGACACAGUUAUCAACGUGGAAGGACCGGAUGGCCGUCACGUGCAGACGGGCGAGCCUGGCAAAGCAGUUGCCGGAUACUUUACUUCACAAGGUGAAAACGGCGUUGAACACAAGACAACGUACGAGGCUGACGAGCAAGGCUUCCGAGCCAAGGGAUCGCAUUUGCCAGUCUCUCCGACCGACUCGUCCGCCCGUCUGCCCACCACUUUGCCCGUUCUCUACCCAACAUCUGCUUUCCCCAUCUACGGUUUCCGCUACGGCCCGCAAAAUUAUUUGCCCUUCGCUUACCCAACUUACCCGCAAGCGGGCGGAGAUCAUUUAUCGUACGAUAACAUCGCAUUUAAACAAGGAGGAAAUCAACUCCCUCUUUCCGGACAAGAGAUUUUGGCCCUAGCACAAGACGCUCAAAUUCCGCUCACGGCCGAAGAAAUAGCCGCUCUUACGGGACGCGGUGUGAUGACGACCAUGAUGAUGCCUUUAACGUUGACGAACAAGCUGAACUUGUUGAUGAUGAUUCUUAUUAAAAAAAUGUUGCUUACUAUGGGUUGAGAAAUUGAUCCGAGUGGAUGUUACCACUUUGACCAUGUAGAAUAUGCCGACAAUCCCGCUAAUUUAAUUUUAAGUUUUAUUUUGUUUUUGCCCCACGUGUAUGACAAAUACAUUUUAUUUCAAACUAAA